AUUGUUAAAGGAUAAUAGCGCAUCCACUGGUCUUAGGAACCAAAAACUCUUGGUGCAAAUCCAAGUAACAAUU
rnacentral:tRNA from 1 species